rnacentral:rRNA from 1 species
AACGAACGCUGGCGGCAUGCCUAACACAUGCAAGUCGAACGAGACCUUCGUGUCUAGUGGCGCACGGGUGCGUAACGCGUGGGAACCUGCACUUAGGUUCGGAAUACCUCCCCGUAAGGGGUGCUAAUACCGGAUAAUGUCUUCGGACCAAAGAUUUAUCGCCUUUGGAUGGGCCCGCGUUGGAUUAGCUGGUUGGUAGGGUAAAAGCCUACCAAGGCGACGAUCCAUAGCUGGUCAGAGAGGAAGAUCAGCCACACUGGGGCUGAGACACGGCCGAGAAUCCUACGGGAGGCAGCAGAGGGUAAUAUAGGACAAUGGGCGAAAGCCUGAUCCAGCAAGGCCGGGUGAGUGAUGAAGGCCUUAGGGAAGUAAAGCUCUUUUACCCGGGAUGAUAAUGACAGUACCGGGAGAAUAAGCACCGGCUAACUCCGUG